AGCUCCAAUAGCGUAUAUUAAAGUUGCUGCAGUUAAAAGCUCGUAGUUGCAUUUCCGAGGCAAGGGAUUAGUCCGACCUUUGGUGGGUAUUUAAUCCUCUUGCCUCGUCCUUGAGUGGUGCUUCUUGGUAUUAAGUUAUCGAGGAGAUAGCCGCUCAUCGUUUACUGUGAGAAAAUUAGAGUGUUCAAAGCAGGCUUAUGCCGUUGAAUAUAUUAGCAUGGAAUAAUAAGAUAGGACCUCGGUACUAUUUUGUCGGUUUGAGAACCAAGGUAAUGAUGAAUAGGGACAGUUGGGGGUAUUCGUAUUCAGUUGUCAGAGGUGAAAUUCUUAGAUUUACGGAAGACGAACUACUGCGAAAGCAUUUACCAAGGAUGUUUUCA
rnacentral:rRNA from 1 species